GCCGUACCAUGCUGAAUAUACCGGUUCUCGUUAGAUCACCGAAGUCAAGCAUCAUUGGGCGCGGUCAGUACUUGGGUGGGUGACCACCUGGGAACACUGCGUG